GGGACAACGGGUAACCGCCUUUAAAGGGGACCGGCCCCCCUGGGACUGAAACCCGGCCCAGAUUCCUACGGGAGGCAGCAGUGGGGAAUAUUGCACAAUGGGCGAAAGCCUGAUGCAGCGACGCCGCGUGAGGGAUGACGGCCUUCGGGUUGUAAACCUCUUUCAGCAGGGAAGAAGCGAAAGUGACGGUACCUGCAGAAGAAGCGCCGGCUAACUACGUGCCAGCAGCCGCGGUAAUACGUAGGGCGCAAGCGUUGUCCGGAAUUAUUGGGCGUAAAGAGCUCGUAGGCGGCUUGUCACGUCGGGUGUGAAAGCCCGGGGCUUAACCCCGGGUCUGCAUUCGAUACGGGCUAGCUAGAGUGUGGUAGGGGAGAUCGGAAUUCCUGGUGUAGCGGUGAAAUGCGCAGAUAUCAGGAGGAACACCGGUGGCGAAGGCGGAUCUCUGGGCCAUUACUGACGCUGAGGAGCGAAAGCGUGGGGAGCGAACAGGAUUAGAUACCCUGGUAGUCCACGCCGUAAACGGUGGGAACUAGGUGUUGGCGACAUUCCACGUCGUCGGUGCCGCAGCUAACGCAUUAAGUUCCCCGCCUGGGGAGUACGGCCGCAAGGCUAAAACUCAAAGGAAUUGACGGGGGCCCGCACAAGCAGCGGAGCAUGUGGCUUAAUUCGACGCAACGCGAAGAACCUUACCAAGGCUUGACAUACACCGGAAAACCCUGGAGACAGGGUCCCCCUUGUGGUCGGUGUACAGGUGGUGCAUGGCUGUCGUCAGCUCGUGUCGUGAGAUGUUGGGUUAAGUCCCGCAACGAGCGCAACCCUUGUUCUGUGUUGCCAGCAUGCCCUUCGGGGUGAUGGGGACUCACAGGAGACCGCCGGGGUCAACUCGGAGGAAGGUGGGGACGACGUCAAGUCAUCAUGCCCCUUAUGUCUUGGGCUGCACACGUGCUACAAUGGCCGGUACAAAGAGCUGCGAUACCGUGAGGUGGAGCGAAUCUCAAAAAGCCGGUCUCAGUUCGGAUUGGGGUCUGCAACUCGACCCCAUGAAGUCGGAGUUGCUAGUAAUCGCAGAUCAGCAUUGCUGCGGUGAAUACGUUCCCGGGCCUUGUACACACCGCCCGUCACGUCACGAAAGUCGGUAACACCCGAAGCCGGUGGUCCAACCCCUUGUGGGACGGAGC
rnacentral:rRNA from 1 species